GCUUGACUGUAGCUUGUAAUUGGUUCGGCUUUUUGCGCAGCCUAGGUGGGAGGCAACGAUGAUUUUUUCCGGAAAAAUUUGAGCCGUUAGUGAGAGACCACUCUGAAAAGGCUAGAAUCCUAAUAAUGAUCCUUGAAUCAGGACAUUUGACAGUUGCAGGUGGCAGUUUUACUGGGCGGUAUUCUCCUAAAAAGUAACGGAGGGGUGCAAAGGUUCCCUCAAGCUGGACGGAAAUCAGCUUAAGAGUGUAAAGGCAAAAGGGAGCUUGACUGCAAGACCUACAAGUCGAGCAGGGCGAAAGCCAGCCUUAGUGAUCCGACGGUACCACGUGGAAGGGCCGUCGCUCAACGGAUAAAAGUUA
rnacentral:rRNA from 1 species